GUUGGGGGGUGUCGGUGGACUGUGACCCCCAGGGACUCCAGCGUUCCGAGGAGAGCAAAGGAGACCUGACGAGAGUCGAGCGAGGGAGAGGGAAAGCCCGGAGACCGGUGGCCCAGAACCAGGCGAGGACAGCGUGGCAGGGAGCAGGGUCUGUGCGCAAAGUUGACAGGCCAGUUACAGGGGGCUGAGACCUGGCUGUCGGAUUUAGCAGCGUGAGAGUCGUUGGAGCCCUCAUCACAGCAGUUUCGGUGUGUUCGAGAGAGAGGACGAGAGGAAAGAAAUGGGAGAGGCUACGAGUAUAGACAAAUCUUUGCAGAUGUUUUGCUGCCAGGGGAGCAGAAAAAUGGAUUUUCAGAAUCCAGUUGGGAGUUUUCCUUACAGCACAUCUCCGUUUGAAUGCUACAUUUUCCACCAUGAAGAUGGAAAAUGUAGUCCUACCAAGACAGUAAAGUUGCUUGACGUUUACAACUGCUUCAGUUUAAAUUUUUAAUGAAUUAAAAUUAAAUAAAAUUAUGAAUUACAUUCCCCAUCUGCACUGGUUACAUUUCAGGGGUUCAGAAGCAGUAUGGGGUUAGCGGCUGCUAUAUCAGAGUGGAGGGAGUUGGGAUUGUAUGAGAUACAACAUUGUAUUUACACACUGUGGAAUUUUUUUUUUAAUUUAUUUUUUAUUGGUGUUCAAUUUACUAACAUACAGAAUAACCCCCAGUGCCCGUCACCCAUUCACACUGUGGAAUUUAGGCUGGGUAAGGGGGAAACAGGAAAUCAAAAGCUGAGAGUGAAAAGGUGGUACAAUUAAUGAAUUAAAAACCUCAUAGGGCUUGGUAUUGGAGUGUUUGAAGGAGCAAGCCAGACAGAAGUGAUAGAGAAUGAGACACACAAAACUGAGGUAAUGGAAAGUUUCCACUUACUGGUAGUAAAAAACCCAGGGCAUGGAAGGGAGUAUCAAAAAUCACUGGAGGAGAGGAGUUCGAGGAAAUUAUCAGGAGAUAAUUUCGUGUAUACUGAGAUCACCAGGAAUUAGGACAAGAAUAUUGGAGAGUGACAGUGAGCCAGGAUCUAGAUUCAGUGAAAAUGAAAGGGAAGGGCUGUGGUAGAUGAGUGCAGGAGUUGAGGGGUGGUGAAAGGUACAAACCAAAAGCAAGAGUCAGAGCUUGCUUUCAGGAAGAAAAGUUUGGGAGCUUCCCUGAAGAGCAAGGAAUACAUUUCUCCCACCUCCAUGGCCAUUCACGGGAGAAAAAAACUACAGGGAAAGCCAGCAGGAGGGAUUCAGGAUUCAGCUAGAGCAAAACUCUGAAGAUGUUAAGGGAAGUUGAGGAUUUAGAUGAUUUUGAUGACUGUAGAGCACGAAUUGAGGGCCCACUGAAAGCAUUUUGGGAGUUAAAGACAGAUUGGGGGGCAGAAGAGGAUGUGUACAGAAUAGAAUACAAUCUUAAUGUAUAUAGCAGUGUUUGAAACCGACAAAAUAUUGAUACUAUAAAUGUAGGCAAAGGACGUAAAACAUUCUCAGAAGAAAUAAUAUAAUAGACCAAUAAAUGUUUUAAGAGUAUUUCUUUAAGAGUAUUUAAGAGCUAGCCAGAAAAAAAAAAGUUAUAAAAAAAAAAAAAAGAAAGAAAGACGUUUAAAAAUAGA